AACUUUGCAACCAAAGUUGUUGGUUUUUAUCAAAUAUAUACAUUAAUUUAUAUCAUUUUUAUUUUUAUUUUUUAUACAAUAAUACAUAAAAGUUGAUCUAGAUUCGUUGAUUAUUUAUAACAAAGUCAUAAAAAUAUUAAAAAAUCACUUAGAAGUUUAAAAAAAUCAGUUUAUUUAGAUUUCAGUUUAUUUUAAUAGCUCGCAGAUAUUAAAAAAACAAACAGUCUUCUUUUUUCAGACUGCAGACGUUUGGUCCAUAUCUUCUACUGAAGAGGUCUACAAAUAUGGUCCGCAAACUGCAGACAUUUUGCCUCAGAAAAAACAAACAACACCUAAAUUUUCCAACCCUAAACAACAAUCUACCAAAAAGCCUCCCUGGAAUCAUAUCUUCAAUUGCAAGACUGAAAAAGUAAUCUUCAAUAGCAUUAUCCUGCCAUGGAAAACAACACACUUAUGAUUCAUAUGUUUGGGUUUAUAUAAUUACUCAUCGUAUAUUGAGAUGUUAGGUUCAAUUAAUAAAGUUAUAGUUUCAUUUCGAAAUCAUUAUUAAUAACAAUAACCCAAUAGCUUAAAUCUUUGUUGCACUCCAAAGAUGUCUAAACUAAUUCAAAGCUAAAAACAUAUACAUCAACAUUUUCAUUGCAUAUUCGAGAGCUGUCCGAAUGAUGUGCAGGAAGACGAAGAUGAAAUAAUGUUCUGAAAGUUGAGGAAAUAAGCAGGUUUCAUAUCAGAUUAUCAGGAUAACACACGAGAUAUGACCAACAAAUAAGGUGCAACUUAUGAGAAAGACAAUUGGGCCCUUCAACAUUGUUGGUGAAAGAAGAAAGGCACAUAGAAGGAACCUUAGCUUCUUGUUUUUAACAAGCUUGGGAAUACGUGAUGAAGACCUUUGAUGUAUUUAUUAUCUCUUUAAUCAUGUCAUUUGCC